GUAAGCCAAUGCCACGCUAGCCUGAAAACAAAAGCAGCCUUUUGGCCCAAGAGAGUGUACUGCGUCAGUUUCCUAGCUCUCCUGGACGUGAGGUUUCACGCCUCCAUUGCGGUGGGAGCUGUGACGGGACUUGCAGUGUCUCUGGCUUCCCCAGAAUUACUUUCUGCAGGCUGGUUGGCAGGUCCUGGCAUUUGUGGAAAGCCAAGAACACGUCUGUGUCCAGAUUCCUCCCCGGCUCCUGCCUGUCAGAGACGUCUGUGACAGCUUUCUUUCUCCUCUAAGGAGGAGGCAUGCAGUAGCGCGGCUGGGCUUAGUGGAUGGGAUGUGACAGGAGCAGCGGCUGAAGCAGGACUUGAAUCAGGAGCUCAGCUAACCGCUGGCACUUGUUCUGUAGUCCCCCAGGUCCUCCAGAGCUGCGCUGAGUUCAUUGAGCAGCACGGCGUGGUGCAGGGGAUCUACCGCCUGUCCGGCGUGGCGUCCAAGAUCCAGAAGCUACGGUAAGAGUGCUGCGACUGACACAGCUGUCAGUAGGGGCACGUGCCAUGCUGCGGGCGUUCCGAGGCCUGCGCUGUGGGGCAGCUGUGUGCAGGCAGCGUGCGCUCAGCGGUGGUGCGCCAGGCUUGUGUCUGUUUGAUAGGAACCCGGGGCGUUGAGUAGACUUGCUGGGGCAGGAAGUUCUCCUUCAGUCCUUGAGAGCAUUGGAAGGCUGUGGGGGACUGCGGUGUCAGCUCUCAUUCCCGUUUCCUCUUGUUGGCAGAGCCCUUUGGAGCAGCCCGCACUCCUCCUUGCUGCUCUGGGCUCCUGGCAUGUGAUUGUGGAGUAGGCAGCCAGUUGUCAGAGCGUUUCUUUUCUCCUGUGAAUCAGGAACCCCUUCCUUUUCUUGACUCUGUCGUGUAUUGCUUUGGACUUGUCUUCCUCUUUCUCAAAGCCCGUUUUUGUGUCCUUCUCUCCAGCCACGAAUUUGAGUCGGAGCAGAUUCCGGAGCUAAGCGUCCGUGACGUUCACAGCGUGAGCUCCCUGUGCAAGAUGUACUUCAGGGAGCUCCCGACCCCUCUGCUGACCGAGCAGCUGUAUGGCAAGUUCUCGGUAAGCACAAGGCAAUGGUUUUCAUGUCCCUCUUCCCUGGGCCUCUUGGCAUGGCCUGUCGCAUACACACACGCCUGCGCACCUCAUGGUCUUUUUUUCUGAUUUUCUGUUAGCCCCAUGGGGUAGACUCGCAUGUCUUUGCCACAUCCUGCAGCAUACUGUUGCCACUAUUGGUGCUCAUUUCUGGAGGUGGUCAUUUCCAUAUUCACAAUGCUUGCGAGGAGCUGAGGUGCACAAUCCGUCAGGCUGUAAAGCAGCCCAGUGCUUGGACUGCUUGGCCUUGAUGGCACCAGCUGCGUGCCGCUGUGUUCCCCGGAUUUUCUGCCUGUUGGAAGGCAUAAAAUCCGCCUCAGUGCUGAGCAACAGCGUUCUGUCUUCAUAGUUGCCGAGCCUGUGGCAGGUAUCUCUACUGAUGUGUGUCUAAAUCCCUCUCUGCUUUCUUCCAGGAUGCUGUUUGUGCCGCUACAGAUGAGGAGCGGUUGCUCAGAAUGCAGGAGGUCAUCCAGCAGCUGCCCGCGCCUCACUACAGGUCAGAAAACUGCUGCCCUGAGUGUGGUGAGCUCAGCCCUGCUGCAUUUCAGAGGGCGAUGAUGCGAUGGCAGGCUUUGUCUCACGCUCACAACAUGAUGCCUGUGUGUGUUGAAGUGAUUGAUGGCUCGGUGGGGUUGAUGGAUUGGGUCAGUUCCUGGGGCACGGCUGGUGCAGCUGAUGGCUGCGUCUGUGCUGUGCUGGGGCUUGGUGCUGCAGCGUGGCACCUGGGAAAGCUUGAUCUGCUUCCUAUUCCGUGACAGUAGCAAGAGCAAGAACUGGCGUGUCUUGAGGUUUGUUUUGUGAAUUGCAGCACGGCGUGCUCACUGGUGCUGAAGGUCUGCCUCUU
ensembl:lncRNA